rnacentral:rRNA from 1 species
UGAGUACGAGAGGCUACGGCCUCGAAGCAGUCUAUGUCAUACUUCCAAGAAAAGCUUGCAAUGUCAUAAACAAAUAAUGCCUGUACCAUAACCGACACAGGUGGGUAGGUAGAGUAUACUAUGGGGCGCGAGAUAACUCUCUCUAAGGAACUCGGCAAAAUGACUCCGUAACUUCGGGAGAAGGAGUGCCUUAUUUAUAAGGUUGCAAUAACAAGAUCCAAGCAACUGUUUACAAAAACACAGGUCUCCGCUAAGUCGUAAGACGAUGUAUGGGGGCUGACGCCUGCCCAGUGCCAGAAGGUUAAAGAAGUUGGUUAGCAUUAGCGAAGCUGAUAACUGAAGCCCUGGUGAACGGCGGCCGUAACGAUAACGGUCCUAAGGUAGCGAAAUUCCUUGUCGGGUAAGUUCCGACCCGCACGAAAGGCGUAAUGAUUUGGAUACUGUCUCGGAGAGAGGCUCGGUGAAAUAGACUUGUCUGUGAAGAUGCGGACUACCUGCACCUGGACAGAAAGACCCUAUGAAGCUUUACUGUAACUUGAAAUUGAAAUUGGACUUUAUUUGCGCAGUAUAGGUGGGAGGCGUUGAGAGUAUUCUUGCGGGAAUAUUGGAGCCAUCAGUGAGAUACCACUCUUGUAAUGUUAGAUUUCUAACUUUGGAUCAUUAUCUGGUCAAAGGACAGUUUCAGGCGGGCAGUUUGACUGGGGCGGUCGCCUCCCAAACGGUAACGGAGGCGUACAAAGGUUUCCUCUGAACGGGUAGAAAUCGUAUCUAGAGUGUAAAGGCAUAAGGAAGCUUGACUGUGAGACCUACAAGUUGAGCAGGGACGAAAGUCGGUCUUAGUGAUCUGACGGUGCUGAGUGGAAAGGCCGUCACUCAACGGAUAAAAGUUACUCUAAGGAUAACAGGCUGAUCUCCCCCAAGAGUUCACAUCGACGGGGAGGUUUGGCACCUCGAUGUCGGCUCAUCGCAUCCUGGGGCGGUAGUACGUCCCAAGGGUUGGGCUGUUCGCCCAUGAAAGCGGUACGCGAGCUGGGUUCAGAACGUCGUGAGACAGUUCGGUCCAUAUCCGGUGUAGGCGUUAGAAUAUUGAGAGGAGCCUUCUUUAGUACGAGAGGACCGAGAAGGACAUACCUCUGGUGUACCAGUUAUCGUGCCAACGGUAAACGCUGGGUAGCUAUGUAUGGAGAGGAUAACCGCUGAAAGCAUCUAAGUGGGAAGCCCACCUCAAGAUAAGUAUUCUCAUC